UACGUAGGGGGCGAGCGUUGUCCGGAUUUAUUGGGCGUAAAGAGCGUGUAGGCGGUUCGGUAAGUCUGUCGUGAAAUCCUGAGGCUCAACCUCGGGCGUGCGAUGGAUACUGCCGGGCUAGAGGAUGGUAGAGGCGAGUGGAAUUCCCGGUGUAGCGGUGAAAUGCGCAGAUAUCGGGAGGAACACCAGUAGCGAAGGCGGCUCGCUGGGCCAUUCCUGACGCUGAGGUGCGAAAGCGUGGGGAGCGAACAGG
rnacentral:rRNA from 1 species